AAUUAGUGAGUCAUUUCCUCCUCCAGAUCAAAGUAUAAAAUAAACAAGUUCACGAUAAAUUGCAUAAAUUCUUCAGACACUGCACUUACAACAAGCACUAAAAAAAAAUAAUCAAAAAUGAGAAGCUCAACAUUCUUAAGUAUAUGUCUUUUGGUAUUUUUGUUGCUGGUUAACUUUGAAAGAACAGUGGGAAAUAAAGAACAUCAAAACAGAAAUGGAACCAGAAUUGGCUCUACUAAAUCAACAAAUGGAACUAGAGUUAAGUCUAUUAAACCAAAUGUAACUCGCAGAGUAGAAGUUACUAGACAAACAGAAACUAGACCAACAGGGGUUCCAGAAAGUAGAAAGACAAAAAAGAGGGAAAACUCAAAAUCAAGAGGACACUGAUCAAACGUUGACCAUUAACGAUAUUUUUUGUUGGUUGCACGGCGUCAUUUUGUUUUGCACGAUACGCGUCAAAAAAUUAUUUUUGCUAUGAAUACACGACGAAAACAAUUUGUUUUUAAAUAAUAUGAUUUAAACAAUUGAAUUUGUAUUGAACAUUUUUUUCAAAAGUUUAUAAAAAUAAUUUUGCUAAAAUGUAAAACAUGUUACGUACUAUCGAGGUAUCGAGAAGUAAUUAUGUAAUGAAUUAAAAGAACAAAAGAGCAAAAUGUUAAA